ensembl:lncRNA
UGAUGGCUCAGGACUGCAUCCCAGGUGACACCGACGCUUUGCAGAACAGAGCUCAGCCAGCUGCCUGAAGCCCGGUGAGAGGAGCAUCCAUGGGCUCAUGGUUUUGGGUGUUGGUCAGCAAGGAGUAACCACGGUGUGCGGGGAGCCCUGCUGUUCUGCUCCUGGAAGGCCAAACCCCUGAGCUGUUGCUUCAGCUGUCACACUUCUGUCAGUCUUUACCGAGCCUGUUUAUGCUGGCUGUUGUUGGAGUUCCUUGUGCCCUACCAUAAUUGCAAGUGUGUCUUUAAAGGAUUAAAAUUUAAUAUGAACAUUCAGCCAUGGCACAGCUGUGAUGGAAAAGGUAAGAGUGCUCCAAGUUC